UACAGAGGGUGCAAGCGUUGUUCGGAAUUAUUGGGCGUAAAGCGCGUGUAGGCGGCUUGGCAAGUCGGGUGUGAAAUCCCUCAGCUUAACUGAGGAAGUGCGCCCGAAACUGCCGAGCUUGAGUACCGGAGAGGGUGGCGGAAUUCCCCAAGUAGAGGUGAAAUUCGUAGAUAUGGGGAGGAACACCGGUGGCGAAGGCGGCCUCCUGGCUCGACACUGACGCUGAGGUGCGAAAGCGUGGGGAUCAAACAGG
rnacentral:rRNA from 1 species